rnacentral:rRNA from 1 species
AUGGCUCAGGAUGAACGCUAGCUACAGGCUUAACACAUGCAAGUCGAGGGGCAGCAUGGGAGUUGCUUGCAAUUCCUGAUGGCGACCGGCGCACGGGUGAGUAACGCGUAUCCAACCUUCCCCUGACUCCGGAAUAGCCCGGUGAAAACCGGAUUAAUGCCGGAUGGGGUCCGGAGAGGACAUCUGACCUGGACCAAAGGCUUGCCGGUCAGGGAUGGGGAUGCGUCUGAUUAGGUUGUUGGCGGGUAACGGCCCACCAAGCCAUCGAUCAGUAGGGGUUCUGAGAGGAAGGUCCCCCACAUUGGAACUGAGACACGGUCCAAACUCCUACGGGAGGCAGCAGUGAGGAAUAUUGGUCAAUGGGCGAGAGCCUGAACCAGCCAAGUAGCGUGGAGGAUGACGGCCCUACGGGUUGUAAACUCCUUUUAUCAGGGGAUAAAGUGCCCUACGUGUAGGGCUUUGCAGGUACCUGAUGAAUAAGGACCGGCUAAUUCCGUGCCAGCAGCUGC